UACGUAGGGUGCGAGCGUUAUUCGGAAUUACUGGGCGUAAAGCGUGCGCAGGCGGUUUGCUAAGUCAGGUGUGAAAUCCCCGGGCUUAACCUGGGAACUGCGCUUGUUACUGGCAGGCUUGAGUGUGGCAGAGGGGGGUGGAAUUCCACGUGUAGCAGUGAAAUGCGUAGAGAUGUGGAGGAACACCGAUGGCGAAGGCAGCCCCCUGGGCUAACACUGACGCUCAUGCACGAAAGCGUGGGGAGCAAACAGG
rnacentral:rRNA from 1 species